rnacentral:rRNA from 1 species
UGGGGAAUAUUGCACAAUGGGCGCAAGCCUGAUGCAGCCAUGCCGCGUGUAUGAAGAAGGCCUUCGGGUUGUAAAGUACUUUCAGCGGGGAGGAAGGGAGUAAAGUUAAUACCUUUGCUCAUUGACGUUACCCGCAGAAGAAGCACCGGCUAACUCCGUGCCAGCAGCCGCGGUAAUACGGAGGGUGCAAGCGUUAAUCGGAAUUACUGGGCGUAAAGCGCACGCAGGCGGUUUGUUAAGUCAGAUGUGAAAUCCUCGGGCUCAACCUGGGAACUGCAUCUGAUACUGGCAAGCUUGAGUCUCGUAGAGGGGGGUAGAAUUCCAGGUGUAGCGGUGAAAUGCGUAGGGAUCUGGAGGAAUACCGGUGGCGAAGGCGGCCCCCUGGACGAAGACUGACGCUCAGGUGCGAAAGCGUGGGGAGCAAACAGG